UCGUAGACUGCGGGCAUCGGCCUCAACCUUGAGUUAACAGGGAAUCCAGUGUGAAUCUGGAGCUGACGCGCAGCGGUAAGGAAUGUCAGGGUGAUUGCAAUUGCAGACACUGUCCUGCGGGAUGGGAAGUCAUCACCUGCUAUGAUUCCCAGCCCGAAGACCUGCCGGUGUGACGUCGCCACGC
rnacentral:ncRNA from 20 species